rnacentral:misc_RNA from 1 species
GUGAAGAACGCAGCGAAAUGCGAUACUUGGUGUGAAUUGCAGAAUCCCGUGAACCAUCGAGUCUUUGAACGCAAGUUGCGCCCGAAGCCACUAGGCCGAGGGCACGCCUGCCUGGGCGUCACACGCCGUUGCCCCCCCAUCUACUCCUUCGGGAUUGCGGGGGGGCGGAUGAUGGCCUCCUGUGCGCCUAGCCGCGCGGUUGGCAUAAAUACCAAGUCCUCGGCGACGCACGCCACGACAAUCGGUGGUUGCGAAACCUCGGUUGCCCGUCGUGUGCGUUCGUCGCGCAUCGAGGGCUCGAAAAAAUGCUCGGCUCCGGCUGGGCUUUCAACGCGACCCCAGGUCAGGCGGGGUUACCCGCUGAAUUUAAGCAUAUCAAUAAGCGGAGGA